rnacentral:rRNA from 1 species
CAUGCAGUCGACGGUAACAUGACUCUCUAGUCCCUUCAGGGUGACUUUGUCACUGACGAGUGGCGGACGGGUGAGUAAUGUUUAGGAAUCUGCCCCGUAUCGGGGGAUAAGUCGAAAAAAUUCAAGCUCAUACCGCAAACCCCCUACGGGGGAAAGCGGGGGACCUUCGGGCCUCGCACAAUUGGAUGAUCCUGCGGCGGAUUAUCUUGUUGGUGAGGUAAUGGCUCACCAAGGCGACGAUCCGUACCUGGUCGGAAAUGAUGAUCAGCCACACUGGGACUGAGACACGGCCCAGACUCCUAUUGGAGGCAGCAGUGGGGCAUAUUGCACAAUGGGCGAAAGCCUGAUGCAGCCCUACCGCGUGGGUGAAGAAUGCCUUAGGGUUGUAAAGCCCUUUCAUCAUGCAUGAAAGGUGCGGGGUUAAUACCCCCGUAAUUUGACGGUACCUGAAUAAGAAGCACCGGCUAACUCCGUGCCAGUGCGCCGCGGUAAUACGGAGGGUGCAAGCGUUAAUCGGAAUCACUGGUUUGUAAAGCGCGCGUAGGCAGUCUGGUCAGUCAGAUGUGAAAGCCCCGGGCUUGACCUGGGACUCCACAUCUUGAUACUGCCAGACUAAAGUGUGGUAGUAGGGAAGUGGAAUUCCGCGUGUAGCGAGUGAACAUGCGUAGAGAUGCGCGAGGAACCAUGGAGUGGACGACUGACGACUUACCGUGCACAAAGCAGCUGGACUACUCAUGCUGCGAUUAGCAGUAGCGCGUAGCUAAAUCACGGAUUCAGUAUACCGCUGGUCAGAUCCCACCGCGUGUAGAGCUGAUGUACUACCUAUGCCGUAGCGGGAGCCUAUAGCUCUCUUGGUAGGACCGCGAGCUGAGCGCGUAUCAGGUAGCACCGGCCUAGGGAG